GAAUGACUGUUCAGUGGCUGGAUUAAAAGUCUGCAGAGAGGAAUUGGACAAAGCAAGAAAACCUUUUGAUCAAGAGGACAUCUUUCCUUGAGGAACUUAAGAACUUGAUCUGGUAGCUUACGUUAGCACUGGUCUUUGCGUUGGGUGAUGACAAGAUGAAACACGUAUACUGUGAUGAAGCUGGAUCAAUACUGCCCCCUUUGUCACCAACUCUGGGAGUGACCUGGGACAAGUCGUUUCUCUGCCAACUUUGCUCAUCCCCACAGCUGUAAUCUUGCAAGGUUCCACCACCUUUCAACAUGAUCACACUGGG